GGCCGGGGGUGGGGGGCGGGAAGGCGAAGACUCACGGCUGUCCCAGGCGUCCCAGAGUGCGAACGAACGCGCAGGAUCUGGGAAAAGAACGCCUCUCUGCCAGGCUCACUGUCGUCCUUUCCCAGGGCUGGGGGUGUUGGGCACCGAGUCAGGUCAGGUCAGGGUCGGGCCACCGCCCAACAAUGGCGGUCGCCCCUAGGGCUCUAGGCUUUGGGGUACUUCUUCCUGAUUAGGAGGAAGAGCCCACCAAAGGACAGUCCCUGGCCCAGGAGCCCAAUAGGGGACUGACAAUUGUGACAUCGCACAUUUCCCUUAGGGGCUAUGGAAGUCCCUAGAACAUACCGCUGCUGCUGCAGACUCCUCCGCCUCUCCUGUAGCCUGCACUGAGUAAGCCCAUCUCUGAACUACCCGGUGUGCUCCCUCACUUUCAUAUUUCGAGCAGUGGGAGUCUUCAGAGGUCUCUCGUUGGUGCCGUGACUAGGAUUGGGAUUCCCUCACCUUCACUAGGUGAGGACCCCAAUCUGGAUUCACCCCCCACUCGUCCCAGGUCAUCCCCAGUCCAUUUCCUUGGUCGCCGGACCCAUAUCCAACAUCGGUCAUCCAUUGUUUCCCGAUCCCUCCUCUUGGCAAUCCAGGAUAGCAGCCGCAGGCUUCUACAACCCCAACAGGUGUAUCAUCUCUCAGAUCUCAACAAUCUCUAGCCAGAUUUCAACCAGCUCCUUCUUAGGCAUUACCAACUACUCCCAAGAGAGGCUGACCUAUCCCAGGGACUUCUCAAUGCUGUAAAUUAUCAUGCACCCUCCAACUUCUCGCUGCCCCGAGGCUCUUCACUUCAACCUACGGCACCUCCAGUCCGCGGCCUCUGCUGUGCCACCCGGGAUUCAUCAGCGGCCACGGCCUCUGGAUCCUACUGCUUGUAACGGGGUUGAUAGAUAUCUCCCAUGGUUCUCAGUCUAUCCUCAUGAUCUUGCAAAGUGCUUAUCUACACCCUUCUCUUUGUAAUUGUGGCCUGUGUCAUCUAUGGAGGAGAGGAAUGACACUGGGAUCCCCAGCCAGGCAGGCGAUGCACGAAGAUGCAUGGCUGCUCCCUGACCCCCUCAUCGCGUCUGGCUGGGAACAGGCCCUCAAAGAACUACGGUGACAAGGGUCGUUUGGGCUGCAGGAGAGAGAAGGCUGAAGGAGAACUGGGAAGGACCCGGAGGCUGUUUCGGGAACCCAGGCUGAGAGGCUGGUGGGCCAGGGCCUCACCCUGCAGGUGGGGAGAGGUGGACCACCCUGGGUCUAUUCUGGAAGUCAUGCUUCAGAAUUCAUUGGUGGGGGCUGGGAAUAUGGCUCAGGCGGUAGCGCGCUCGCCUGGCAUGCGUGCGGCCUGGGUUUGAGCCUCAGCACCACAUACCAACAAAGAUGUUGUGUCUGCCGAGAACUAAUAAAAUAAAAUAAAAUAUUAAAAAAAAAAAGAAUUCAUUGGUGGAACUGCUGCAGAGAGCGAGGCAGGAAAACCUGAGAGAGGUGGCUCCCGGGUCCACCUGAGCUGCAGUCAUUCCCUGAGGUAGAGAAGGCGAGGAGGGGACAGCUUUGGUGGACAGGAAGAGCCCUGCUAGGUCACAUCUCUAUCUCUAAUACUUCCAGAUGGCGAGGUUGGAAUUGACCUCGGGUGUGCAAGUCCUGGGCUCGGGGGAGAAGCCCGUGCAGGAGACGUCAGUUUGGGGUUGCCAGUGCACAGGUGACAUCUAAAACCAUGAGUGAUGAGAGCCCAAGCCAGGGGCCCCAGAGGUGGGGACCGAGUCUUGCCAACUUUCCCAAGCCAGCGGGCUGUGGAGGCACCCGGAGAAGGUCUUUCUCCUUGAAUGGGGAAAUGAAUGAGCGGUGUCCGGUCAACUUUGCCAGACUCUUGGGAAGGCUGGGUCCCUGUCACUGGACAGUUACCCUGGACCACAAUAAGUACCACAACCGUCCCAGCCUCCUGACCCAUCCUCCAGAUGUCCUCAGCUCUGCCUCUCCCUCCAGGUUCUCUGGCUGUCUGGCCCCCCAACUCCUCCCCACUCUAUUCUUUUUUCUUUUGGGGGUUACUGGGGAUUGAACUCAGGGGCAGACAACCACAGAGCCCCAUCCCCAGCCCUAUUUUGUAUUUUAUUUAGAGAUAGGGCUUCACUGAAUUGCUUAGCCCCUCACCAUUGCUAAGGCUGGCCUUGAACUUGCGAUCCUCCUGUCUCAGCCUCCCACUGUAUUCUUUUGCCCUUUACUGUCCUGAGCAAGGCCACUCUUUCCACCCCGUGAGGGUCCUUGCUUGCAGAGGCACAGCCUUCCUGCUGCAGGGAGAGUGCCAUCUCCAUCCCCGAAGGAGCUCCUGGGUCACUCUUCUCAUUGACAAGGGUCUGCCCACAGCACAGGCUGCAGGAGGCCAUGUGGGUCCCGGAAGUGGGCUCAGUGGUUUGGGGAGAGAAUUCUAGAAUCUGACCCCCAGAGCAGGGCGUAUGUGGCCUCCAGGGGAGCACAUUCCUGGGCCCCGGGGAUUCAGAGCUCCUAGGGGAGCAGGAUGGAGUGUGGAAGUGGGUCACCUAAGGAUGGUGCUGCGUGUCCUCCUGCCACCUGUGGGUGUCAUUUCUUCUUUUCUUCUUCUUUCUUUCUCCCUCCUUUCUCUCUCCUUUGAACUGGGGAUUGAACCCAGGGGUGCUUUACCACUAAGCUACAUUCUCAGUCCUUUUUUAAAAAAUUUUGAGACAGAGUCUUGCUGAGUUGCAGAGCUGGCCUGGGCCCUGGGAGCCUCCUGCCUCAGCCCCCGAGCUGCUGGGACCGUCCAGCUUCAGGGCGUCAGUUCUCACGCUGCAAAAUGAAGAGAAGUGGUGCCUCCGUGGGCCCUCAGGAGUGGGGGGGGGGUCUUCCCUGGGGAGAUGGAAGGCAGGGGAUCCUCAGCCCCUUUCUGAGUGUGCUCAGGUCGGCCAUUCCUCUCUCUCUGUGGCUGUUUGCGAAGUUCAAGGCUUGGGUCUAGUCAGAGGGGUCAGCUUUGUUUCAUCCACCCUCCAUCUGCAGGCUCCAGAGGCCACCCACCAAGACCUGUCCUUGGGGACUUGUGCCUCUGGGACAAGUGCAGGGGAAGAUGUGGCCAGUGGGUGAACCCACCUCUGUGGAAGAGGCUGUCCAGGCCCUGCCUCCCUGCAGGGAGGCUUCCAUUGCCAAAGGACAAGCCCACCUUGAAGAGGGAUGGAGGGCCCAGAAGCCUCCCCACACACCAGGGGCAGUUUCAGGUUCCCCACCGGGGAGCGCUGUUCCCACUGGGCCCGGAGCUGAAGGCAGAUGGAGAAACAUAAAGGAGCCUGACACACUUUCCUUUAAAAGGAUUUGAUUUAUUAGUCUUUUCCAAAGCAGUUAAUUCUUUUUAAUUAUUUAAAAAAUAUGUGUGUUUCAUCCAGAGUUAUAUCAAAGUGAUUAAAAUGAAUCUUCGACUGGAGAUACAGCUCCCCAGAUCAGAGAAAAAAAAAUGUUUUUCAAUGAACCACAAAAAUAAAACCCAAAGAGAACA